rnacentral:rRNA from 1 species
UACGGGGGGAGCAAGCGUUGUUCGGAUUUACUGGGCGUAAAGGACGCGUAGGCGGCCACCGCAAGUCAGUUGUGAAAUCUCUGGGCUUAACCCAGAACGGUCAGCUGAUACUGCGGGGCUAGAGUGCAGAAGGGGCAACUGGAAUUCUCGGUGUAGCGGUGAAAUGCGUAGAUAUCGAGAGGAACACCUGCGGCGAAGGCGGGUUGCUGGGCUGACACUGACGCUGACAGCGCGAAAGCUAGGGGAGCGAACGGG